rnacentral:tRNA from 2 species
GGGACUAAAGUUAUAAUUUUGUGAUUCCUUAUUUGCAUUAAGGAGGUGCGCUUAGCGCUAGUCUUA